rnacentral:rRNA from 1 species
UUCCGGUUGAUCCCGCCGGAGGCCAUUGCUAUUGGAGUCCGAUUUAGCCAUGCUAGUCGCACGGGUUCAGACCCGUGGCGAAUAGCUCCGUAACACGUGGCCAAACUACCCUAUGGAUCGGAAUAACCUCGGGAAACUGAGGCUAAUACCGAAUACCGCUCUCACGUUGGAAUUACAGAGAGCACGAAACGCUCCGGCGCCAUAGGAUGUGGCUGCGGCCGAUUAGGUAGACGGUGGGGUAACGGCCCACCGUGCCGAUAAUCGGUACGGGUUGUGAGAGCAAGAACCCGGAGACGGUAUCUGAGACAAGAUACCGGGCCCUACGGGGCGCAGCAGGCGCGAAACCUUUACACUGCACGAACGUGCGAUAAGGGGACUCCAAGUGCGAGGGCAUACAGUCCUCGCUUUUCCCUACCGUAAGGUGGUAGGUGAAUAAGAGCUGGGCAAGACCGGUGCCAGCCGCCGCGGUAAUACCGGCAGCUCGAGUGAUGGCCAAUAUUAUUGGGCCUAAAGCGUCCGUAGCUGGCCGAACAGGUCCGUCGGGAAAUCCGCUCGCUCAACGAGCGGACGUCCGGCGGAAACCAGUCGGCUUGGGACCGGAAGACCCGAGGGGUACGUCCGGGGUAGGAGUGAAAUCCUGUAAUCCUGGACGGACCACCGGUGGCGAAAGCGCCUCGGGAGGACGGAUCCGACAGUGAGGGACGAAAGCUUGGGUCACGAACCGGAUUAGAUACCCGGGUAGUCCAAGCUGUAAACGAUGCUCGCUAGGUGUGGCACUGGCUACGAGCCAGUGCUGUGCCGUAGGGAAGCCGAGAAGCGAGCCGCCUGGGAAGUACGUCCGCAAGGAUGAAACUUAAAGGAAUUGGCGGGGGAGCACUACAACCGGAGGAGCCUGCGGUUUAAUUGGAUUCAACGCCGGG